UACGUAGGGGGCAAGCGUUGUCCGGAAUUAUUGGGCGUAAAGAGCGCGUAGGCGGUCCGGUAAGUCGGUUGUGAAAGUCGGGGGCUCAACCCUCGGAUGCCGAUCGAUACUGUCGGGCUAGAGUCCGGAAGAGGCGAGUGGAAUUCCUGGUGUAGCGGUGAAAUGCGCAGAUAUCAGGAGGAACACCAAUGGCGAAGGCGAGUUUCUGGACGGUAACUGACGCUGAGGCACGAAGGCCAGGGGAGCAAACGGG
rnacentral:rRNA from 1 species